rnacentral:rRNA from 1 species
UACGAAGGGGACUAGCGUUGUUCGGAAUUACUGGGCGUAAAGCGCACGUAGGCGGAUUUGUAAGUCAGGGGUGAAAUCCCAAGGCUCAACCUUGGAACUGCCUUUGAUACUGGGGAUCUCGAGUCCGGAAGAGGUGAGUGGAACUGCGAGUGUAGAGGUGAAAUUCGUAGAUAUUCGCAAGAACACCAGUGGCGAAGGCGGCUCACUGGUCCGGUACUGACGCUGAGGUGCGAAAGCGUGGGGAGCAAACAGG